ensembl:lncRNA JPX JPX transcript, XIST activator
UGGAAGACUUAAGAUGGCGGCGUUUGCACGGAGUGCAAUCACUGCGUCCUUACGGGGGUUGCAAGGCGUCCGAAGUAUGAGUCCACUAACAAAAGUCCAGAAACUCGCCAGUUAAUAGUAUUGUGUCUCUUCAAAAUAUCGGAGAAUAAUUUCUUUCUCGCUGAUCGCCUAACUUCUACUGACGAAGCUUGGAAGUUGCAGAAGGCUGGAGUGCAGUGGCGCAAUCUCGGCUCUCUGCAACCUUCACCUCCCGUGUUCAAGUGAUUCUCCUGCCUCAGCCUCCUGAAUACCUGAGAUUACAAGCAUGCACCACCACGCCCGUCUAAUUUUGUAUUUUCACUAGAGACGGGGUUUCUCCAUGUUGGUCAGGCUGGUCUCGAACUCCCGACCUCAGGUGAUCCGCCCGCCUCAGCCUCCCAAAGUGCUGGGAUUACAGGCAUGAGCCACCGCGUCCAGCAAGAAUAGGUGAUUUUCAAACUUGGAAACAUUCAGAAGUUAUCGCCUCAGUUUCAGAUUGAGUAGUCUCAAAGAGAUUACAGACAUCUACCACAAAUUCUCUACUUGGUGUGGUGCAAAAUCAGUAUGAUGUAAACUUUGUCUCUCAGUUUCUUCAAAGGAAAGAAGCAACUGGAACACACAUAUAACACUAACCCUUCCAGCUGCAUUAUGAGGGACCAGUACCUGUCUCAAGGCAAAAUUAUGACUUAGUUCAUCCUCACCUCUGGAGGCCAGUAAAAGUGGGUUAUAGAAGAACAAAGAGGCAUCUAGAUCUUUCACUGGGUUAUUUGGAGAGAAACAUCUCCUACCGAAGGCCAGUUUAACAAGACUGGUAGAGGAGGUUAUCUUAUCUAAUUCACAGAAAUCAACACAUUGAGUCAAGAAAAAUGAAACACAGAAACACUCUAAAUAAAAGAAGAUAAGUCUUCAGAAACCAACCCUAAUGAAAUGAAGAUAUGUGAUUAACCUGACAGGAAAUUAAAAAGAGCAACCAUAAAGAGUCUCAUGGGAGCAAUGCAUGAACAAACUGAGAAUUUUCAUAAAGAAAUAAAAGAUAACAAAAAGUAUAAAGUUGAAGAAUACAAUAACUGGACUCAAAAAUUUAAUGUGUCCAACAGAAGAAUCGAUGAAGCAGAAGAAAGGGCUAUCAAACUUGUAGAUAGGCCAUUGGAAAUCAUGUAAUGUGAGGAGAAAAAAGAAAAAAGAUUGAAGAUAGUUUAAGAGACUUUUGAGACAUCCUCAAAGGGGAAUAAUUUAUACAUUACCAGAUGGAGAAGAUAGAGGGAAAAGGACAGAAAACAUAUUUGAAGAAAUAAUGUCAGAAAACCUCAUAAUUCUGGCAAGGAAAUAGAAAUUUAGAUCUAAGAAUCUCGAACAUCAGGUAUGAUGAAUCCAAGGAGACUCACACCAAACCAUAUUGUAAUUAAAUAAAGGUUAAAGACAAUCUUCAGAGCA